UCUCUAGCUCUCAUCACUGUCACCUUUAACUCUUAACUCUGGUUCUGGCUUUCCAAUGCCAAACUUCAGGAGGAGCUCCACUCAUUUGCCAUUUUACAUGGAGCCCUUUUUGUUUGUUGCACUUAAUGGCCCAUCACCCAGGUGAUCAUCUCAUCAGAAAGCUAGCCUGGCUUAUAUUUUAGCACUUGCUGAAUCCAGGGUUAGAAGUGUCUCAGCAUACAACCCACUUCCCCACCUAAAGUCAUAACACUAUUCUGGCACAGGGGGAAAAAUCAAUUAUUUUUUUUAAAAAGUUAAAUUAAAAAACUGUAGGCAUAAUUUUUCAUUGGGCAGUAAUAGAAUUUGUAUUAAAUUCUAAUAUUACUUAUACUAUGGCUCACAUGAAAGUUGUGGUUUUAAAAUAUAUAUUGCUGCUUGUAAUAAUAGAUCCAUGGUUGCAGGCUGUUUUAAAUAUUUUACAGUUCGUUGAGACACCAUCUCCCUGAAUUCUUAGGUUUGAUCACAAGUGCAGCAUCUCUUCGUUAAUGCUGUGCAGGUUGAUAAAACAGUUGCCGAGCUAUAGUCCCCAAAGAAAUUAUUAAUUAUCUGGUUAAUGUGCAUCAGGCUGUGGGAGUAUGAGAUUAAUCACCAGUGCUGGGAUGAGUUGCUGAAGUGGAUUUUGGUUUUUUGUCUCCUGUCACUCGGUAAUGGCUUUUCCUUCCUUCACCAUCAGGUGAACAGGUGCGGAGAUGCUGUAUUUUCAUUUUCCUGUAGUCAGGAACAGCCGGUGGCCAGGAUAUGCCAUUUUCUCAGUCCUGCUGCAUGAGCAGUUUGCAACAUGGAGCACUACCUGCUCAAAAUGUUCCAGCUGCAGGAGAUUCUCCUGGAAUAACCAGUCUUCUCAAAAUUCACAAACAUUUAAGUGAGAAGGGUUGCAGGAAGCUCAAAGUGGAACUGGGAAAUGCAGUUAAAUUGCUUGGAAUGUGUAAUGUAACCAUAUUUAAAGAAAUACUAUGUGUGAAAUUUACACUUACAUUACAAGUGCAUUCUUCAGUGAGAACUGAGCUCCUGUGGAUUUAUUUUGUCUGAAUUUUAAGUUAGAACUCUUUCUAAAAACCCUGUCAGUGGUGUAAGAUGAGAUGAAAAGUGUGGUUGAGCAUCACAUGAAGUGUUCAUCAAUACACAUUUCUUCCUCCCAGUUGUGACUUGGUGAAAUAUAGAUAGUAAUUUAUUUUUAUGAGACCUCACUUAAGCCCCUGCACAUUAAUGCUUAUUUAAUGUAUUAAGAAGUUUUUGAUGAUUUAAAUCAAUACAUUCUUGUUGGUCACUUGUCCCUCAUUUCGUGUGCUGUUCUGCUACACUUUGAUGUAGUGGCAUUUAUCAUAUCAGAUGAUGUUGAAAACUAUAAUUCUUCAUCCUGAUCCAAUAAAUGUGGGGUGUAACUAUGUGGAUGGUUAUGAAAUUUCAUUGCAUUAAAAUGAAGGAAAAGAUCCACCCCAGAGUGACUUUGCUGCGAAAGAAAUUAAGGUGAGAAAUGGGAUUCAUAUGGGCAUGAGGGUAAGAAAAGCUAAAGCAUAAUUGUCCCAGAUACAUAUCCUUGUUAAAUUGAGUGGGAUUGUUGCAUUGGUCUCUUCAGGGAGAAGAAGUAGGAUAUCAGUGCCAGUAUCCUUCCAGAAUGUUUCUAAGAGAAGUAGGGGAAGUACAAAUGAAUUGUUAUUGGGUGGUCUUGUGUAUAUAUAAUACAAUAAGUAAAUAAAUACAUAUAAAUAAGCUGCUAAUUUUAUUUAUAUUCCUGUCCUAAAGUUAUGAGAAUUAUACGUAGCACUGCAAUGAAUGCUUUUCACUCUACUGGCACUCUAGCAGCAAAAUAUUUAAGAAGAAAUAACAAUAUAGUCCUAUACUUAAUUAUUGAGAUGUCAUUCUCACUGAGUUCAGUGUGACUUACUUCCAGGCAAGCGGGUAUAGGAUUGUUUCCCAUCCCAUCUCUGGCCUUUGUUCUUUAAAUAAAAGUGUGUAUUUUUAAACAAAAAAGAAAAUAAGUGCAUCAUCUGCAAGUUGUGAACUUGGUCCUUCCCCGCCUUCUCUCCAUUUGCUUAGCUUUUCGUGAGACAUUUGCCAUUUAUUAGUACCUAUGAACUUCCUUAUAUGAGCUGAACAAGUGGAGCUAAUUCUAAUAAUCAUUUCUGUUGCCUUGCCAAUGAUGAAAAGAAAAAAAGGGGGGCUUCAUCUUGUUGUAGCUGAAGAUGUUACUUUAGAUGGGUAAGAGAGUUUGUACAUUUUAUUGUAAUCCAUAUUUAUAUGUAGUGCUUCAGACUAGUAUUAGAAACUGUUUAGAUUCUCAUGAUGUUUCCAGUGAUAUUAAUGUCUUCUUGUUUGGCAGACUAAUGAAUUAUUUCACAUUAGAUUUAGGUGACCCAGUUGUACUCAUGUUUCCUAAUGACCAAAGAUCUCUUAACUGACUGGAGACCAGGACAUGGGUCAUUUAUUAUAUGUAUUAAGCAAUCUCCAGGGUUUCAUGCUUAGUUUACAUCUGAUUUGUUUGGAUUUCUACUCCUUGUAGAGCUUCCUGGGCUCCUUCUGAUAAGUAAAGUCAAGUUUACUUUGUUAAGCUCAGCAGUUCCCUGCAGGGAAGAGAUAACAGAGGGAAAAUGGGAUCUUCAGGACACUGCAGCUUGCUUGCUUUUUUGCACCCGGAAGCAAAGAGUGACUUGAUUUUACAGCCACG
rnacentral:lncRNA from 1 species